rnacentral:lncRNA from 1 species
CAAUAAAAAUAAAUAAAUAAAAAAGAAGAUUUGCUGCUGAGAAGGUAAGUUUAAAAGCUCUGGUGGUGCUAUACUAGCCUCAUUACCUUAUCUAGCAUCAUUUAUACAAGUUCACACCUGACCGAAGAUAGGCUCUGUCUUGCUUUUUUUUCUCAAGGUUGCAUCUUCCCCUCUGAUUCUGUAAUAGUUCACUUCCAUCUUUAACAUAAAUUAUUCUCAUUUCAUAACAAUCUAUAUAUUGCAACUAAACCAGAAGAUAACAUAUAUAUGUCUAUUUUCUUUUUAGCCUGGUUGAUAUUCUUCUGCCCAUCUCUCUUUGUUAACAGAUCAGUUUGUGAAAUUUUGAUGAACGUCCUUCAGGUUCAAUAAAUUUCCUGCAUAUUGAGUGUCCACUUGGGUUUCCCAGUAGUGAGUUAGUAUCAGUGUUAAGACACAGGUCCUAACUCCUCCUGGAAUCCCUCAGGAUUCCAAACAGCUCGUUCAGGCCCACAGUUACACAUGAGCUGAUGAUUUUUCAGGCAGAAUCUACCUACCUGGAAAACUAAGUGACCAAUGCCCUUUGGACCCAGGACACUCUUGCAUGAACCAGCGCAUUCAUUCAUGCUCACUGUCAUACUGAGUCUAGCCUUUCGUAGUUGCUGGUGUUGGUGAAUGCUGUGCUUUGGUUCUACCCUGCCUCAUUCCAUGUGCAUGGAUGAGGCUUCUUCUCUGGGAAGCACUGUAGGGCGUAACAGGGAAUUUCCUUAUUCCCCCUCUUGUUGCUGACAUAGGGAGAGGCCAGAAGUGAAGAAGACUGCAGUCCAUCCACAGAAGUGUCACAGGUAGGCUAUGGGGAAGGUGGAGAUGUGACUGAGAGACACUCUGCCUUCCAGAGGCCCACAGACUUCAAUCAAGAGCUCCUUCUCCAUCACCGAGCCAUGCGCAGCUGCACCAGAUGCAGCAACUUUGUUGUGAAUUUGUUCUGCUUACACUCAUUUAACAGUACCAGGUCCCCUUGAAGGACAGGGUUAUAAGCAGACUGCUGGGCAGUUGGCUCUUGACCUUCCUUUCUACUCUGUAUUUUCAUUGCAUCUUUUUGGAUUAACAAGACCAGUUCUAGAAAAUUCAAGGAAAUAGGAGCACCUGCUUAUUGGAUAAUCUACACUGAUAAUUUGAAAUAUCAUUCCUGGUUUGCUAAUCCAAAUUUGUCAGAGAAUCAC